rnacentral:rRNA from 1 species
CCUACGGGAGGCAGCAGUGGGGAAUAUUGGACAAUGGGGGCAACCCUGAUCCAGCCAUGCCGCGUGUGUGAAGAAGGCCCUCGGGUUGUAAAGCACUUUCAGUGAGGAAGAACGCCUGGUGGUUAAUACCCAUCAGGAAAGACAUUACUCACAGAAGAAGCACCGGCUAACUCCGUGCCAGCAGCCGCGGUAAUACGGAGGGUGCGAGCGUUAAUCGGAAUUACUGGGCGUAAAGCGCGCGUAGGUGGCUUGAUAAGCCGGUUGUGAAAGCCCCGGGCUCAACCUGGGAACGGCAUCCGGAACUGUCAAGCUAGAGUGCAGGAGAGGAAGGUAGAAUUCCCGGUGUAGCGGUGAAAUGCGUAGAGAUCGGGAGGAAUACCAGUGGCGAAGGCGGCCUUCUGGACUGACACUGACACUGAGGUGCGAAAGCGUGGGUAGCAAACAGGAUUAGAUACCCCUGUAGUC